UGAUCAUAAAGCCAUGAGGUUGCUUCUGGAAGGCUGAAAUUGCGCCAAAAAAAUUGUGACGUGUUCGUGCUGUUUAGCAGCAGCUGGCUUGUUCGGAAUAUCUGUCCAGCUCAAAAAUGGCUCCAGCGGUUAGAAACAGGUGUUGGAUGGCAGAAUGGUUUUAUGGAAACUUCAAGCAUAUCACAGCUUAAUUUUCUUCCACAAGGCUGUGAGACCAGGUUGCAGGUGAUGCUAAAGUACAGAUCUACAGCACCAGUUGACAUACAGCCAACACUUACAGUGUCUACUUCAUUGUCAAAAGAAAUGUCUCUGCCUCAUUUGUUAAACCAGUUCUUUCGACAGACUUUGUAUUUUACGUGCACACUCCUGGGCUCCUUUCAGCCGACUUGGCUUUUUUUCUUCAACAAAGGAUACCAAAAAGAAUAAAGCAAAUUUUGAUCUAGCAAUGUGAAGUGAGAGGCCAUAAUAUACAGAGAGGUCUUCAACUGCGUCUGCUGACAUCCAGGCUGCAAGUUGAUUUUGUUUUAUAUACAGAUGCUCAAGCACUGGACAAAAUGUCUACAUGAAACAUUUCUCCGUUACAUCAGCCCAGCAUAUGUGACCGUGUAUGGAGAGAUGCCAUAUUUUGAAUAGAUGCUCGCUUCACCUCUACGCAGAAGAAAUGCUUCCACGCUGUCACUAGAUGAUUCUCACUCAUUACAAUGGCACCAUGACUGUUUACAGAUUACAGAGAACCUAAUCCAACGCCUUUAUGCAACUAUUGAAUAAUUGGAACACAACUUGUGACUUUAGCCCAGUGACAUUAAGCUAGGUUCUCUCAUCGCUGUCUCUUUAAAGAUGAACAAUUGAACUUCUAUACGCACAGGGAUAAAAGGUUAUGGCAGAAGUGCAGCAUUUUUCUUCGACUACCUUGAACGAUAAACAUGGAUGUAAUUUGGAUUUAUGACCUCUGGCUGCUAUUUUAAGUGUUGUGUUGCUGUGUGUCAAUAAAGCUUUGACUUCUCUUA